UACGUAGGGGGGCAAGCGUUGUCCGGAAUCAUUGGGCGUAAAGGGCGCGUAGGCGGCCGCCUAAGUCAGACGUGAAAUCCCUCGGCUCAACCGGGGAACUGCGUCUGAUACUGGGUGGCUUGAAUUCGGGAGAGGGAUGCGGAAUUCCAGGUGUAGCGGUGAAAUGCGUAGAUAUCUGGAGGAACACCGGUGGCGAAGGCGGCAUCCUGGACCGAGAUUGACGCUGAGGCGCGAAAGCCAGGGGAGCAAACGGG
rnacentral:rRNA from 1 species